CAAAGACCAUUAAGAAGAGAAAUUGCUUCAAUAUUUCUCUUAAGUUCUGCCUAAUUUCUAGGAACCACCAUAUAAGUACUGCUUCAGGCAGUAAACCACAGGUAGCUCCAAGUGCAUGCAGAAUGGAAGGGCAGGAACCUGUUUGCACUUCUCAGCAUUCAACCAUUUCAGCUGAACUGGAUUUUUCACAGCCAGAGACAGCAGCAAUUUUCUGCAAGCAGUGAAAACAAAGAGUUUUGGACACAUUUCCUCUCUCUGGCUCUAUGAGACACCGAGUCCAGC